GGGCCCGCACAAGCAGCGGAGCAUGUGGUUUAAUUCGAAGCAACGCGAAGAACCUUACCAGGCCUUGACAUGUAGCGGCGGGGGGCGGAGACGCCCCCUUCCCCUCGGGGACGCGAAGACAGGUGGUGCAUGGUUGUCGUCAGCUCGUGUCGUGAGAUGUUGGGUUAAGUCCCGCAACGAGCGCAACCCCUAUGUUUAGUUGCCAUCAUUGAGUUGGGCACUCUGGACAGACUGCCCGUGAAAGCGGGAGGAAGGUGGGGACGACGUCAAAUCAUCAUGCCCCUUACGGCCUGGGCCACACACGUGCUACAAUGGUCUGUACAGAGGGUAGCCAAGCAGCGAUGCGGAGCCAAUCUCAAAAAGCAGACCCCAGUUCGGAUUGCAGGCUGCAACCCGCCUGCAUGAAGUCGGAGUUGCUAGUAAUCGCGGAUCAGCAUGCCG
rnacentral:rRNA from 1 species